rnacentral:rRNA from 1 species
CCGACCCGCCGGGUCCACGUGCCGCGGCGCACGCCGACGUGCGCGGGGAGAAUGGGCCCCGAGCCAAAUGAAGGACGGCUCGUGCGUUCUGGCUCCGCCUCGCUCCGGCGCCUCUACAGGGUCAGGGGGUGCUGCCGAAAAGGUUGGCGCGCUCUCCCCGCGUGGGGCGCCCGACCCGCCGGGUCCACGUGCCGCGGCGCACGCCGGCGUGCGCGGGGAGAAUGGGCCCCGUGCCAAAUGAAGGGCGGCUCGUGCGUUCUGGCUCCGCCUCGGUCUGGCGCCUCUGCAAGGUCAGGGGGUGCCGCCGAACAGGUUCGCGUGCGCCCCGGCUGGUGGCCCGGCAGAGCCGGCCGACCAGCCAGCGCCGUGCGCCACGGCACGCGCCGGCGCGCGCGCGGCUGCCGAUCCGGUGCGCGCGGCGGCGCACGCGGGCGCGCCAAAAAAGUGGCCUGGUCCUGGGUCGUUUUAUGUCCACGCGUUGCAUUUGUGGGGAUCCGGCUUCGGGUAGGUGUGGGAAGGAUAGAACCGUCGAGCUCCGCCGGCGCGCCCGGCGUCCUGUUGCCCUCGCGAGCCCCCGCCGGGCGCUGCGGCGGGCGGCACGUGCCUUUAGGGGUCGCCCGGUGGCCCCCGGCGGCGUGCGCACGCGUGGCACGUGCGCCACAGCCGUGCCGCGCGGCGCCGUGCGCCGCGGCACGCGCCGGCGCGCGCGCGGCUGCCGAUCCGGUGCGCGCGGCGGCGCACGCGGGCGCGCCAAAAAAGUGGCCUGGUCCUGGGUCGUUUUAUGUCCACGCGUUGCAUUUGUGGGGAUCCGGCUUUGGGUAGGUGUGGGAAGGAUAGAACCGUCGAGCUCCGCCGGCGCGCCCGGCGUCCUGUUGCCCUCGCGAGCCCCCGCCGGGCGCUGCGGCGGGCGGCACGUGCCUUUAGGGGUCGCCCGGUGGCCCCCGGCGGCGUGCGCACGCGUGGCACGUGCGCCACAGCCGUGCCGCGCGGCGCCGUGCGCCGCGGCACGCGCCGGCGCGCGCGCGGCUGCCGAUCCGGUGCGCGCGGCGGCGCACGCGGGCGCGCCAAAAAAGUGGCCUGGUCCUGGGUCGUUUUAUGUCCACGCGUUGCAUUUGUGGGGAUCCGGCUUCGGGUAGGUGUGGGAAGGAUAGAACCGUCGAGCUCCGCCGGCGCGCCCGGCGUCCUGUUGCCCUCGCGAGCCCCCGCCGGGCGCUGCGGCGGGCGGCACGUGCCUUUAGGGGUCGCCCGGUGGCCCCCGGCGGCGUGCGCACGCGUGGCACGUGCGCCACAGCCGUGCCGCGCGGCGCCGUGCGCCGCGGCACGCGCCGGCGCGCGCGCGGCUGCCGAUCCGGUGCGCGCGGCGGCGCACGCGGGCGCGCCAAAAAAGUGGCCUGGUCCUGGGUCGUUUUAUGUCCACGCGUUGCAUUUGUGGGGAUCCGGCUUCGGGUAGGUGUGGGAAGGAUAGAACCGUCGAGCUCCGCCGGCGCGCCCGGCGUCCUGUUGCCCUCGCGAGCCCCCGCCGGGCGCUGCGGCGGGCGGCACGUGCCUUUAGGGGUCGCCCGGUGGCCCCGUCGGCGUGCGCACGUGCGCACGUGCGCCGCGGCACGUGCCGGCGCGCUUGGCGGCCGAGCCGGUGCGCGCGGCGGCGCACGCGGGCGUGCCCAAAAAGUGGCCUGGUCCUGGGUCGUUUUAUGUCCACGCGUUGCAUUUGUGGGGAUCCGGCUUCGGGUUGGUGUGGGAAGGAUAGAACCGUCGGGCUCCGCCGGCGCGCCCGGCGUCCUGUUGCCUUCGCGAGCCCCCGCCGGGCGCUGUGGCGGGCGGCACGUGCCUUUAGGGUCGCCCGGUGGCCCCCGUGGGCGUGCCCAAAAAGUGGCCUGGUCCUGGGUCGUUUUAUGUCCACGCGUUGCAUUUGUGGGGAUCCAGCUCUGGGUACCUGUGGGAACCGGGAAACCCUCGAGACGCUCGUAGUUCCGCGCACGGCGUCCCGCCGCGUCCCCGGCCGUCCGCUGACCCCCCGUCCGGCGUCGACGGGCCCCUCGGGGCCUCCGACGCACGGUCGCGCGCGGGCGCGGCGCCGGGUCGCCUCGGGCACGUGACGGCGCGUGAGUAGUGGUCUGCGCGUUGCGCCUGCGGCCUCCCCUGCCCGAGUGCAGCCGACCGCGGGCGCGGGUCGCGUCUCGUUCGUCCCCCGGAUGCCGGAGGGCUCGCCCCCUCGUGGUCUGUACCGCCUAGCCGGAAUGCGGCAACCUCGGAACCCCGACGACUGGGCGCCGGCUCUCCCCCUCCCCCAGCGGGCGGGCGAGAGGCGGCCGGUCGCGGCCCCCCGUGCGUCCCCCGACUCGCCCAGCGCGUGU